UUUAAGGUCUAACCUGCCCAAUGAGGGAUUUAAUGGCCGCGGUAUAUUGACCGUGCAAAGGUAGCAUAAUAAUUUGUUUUUUAAUUGAAAGCUUGAAUGAAUGGUUGGACGAGAAAUCAGCUGUCUCUGAGUAAUUAUUAUAGAAUUUUAUUUUUAAGUUAAAAAGCUUAAAUUUUUUUAAAAGACGAGAAGACCCUAUAGAGUUUUAUAAAUUUUUUUUUUAAGUAGUUUUUAGUAUUUUAUUUAUUUAAUAUUAAGGUUUAUUUUAUUGGGGUGAUAGAAAAAUUUAAUUAACUUUUUCUUUUUAUUUUCAUUGAUUUAUGUUUGUUUGAUCCAUUUUUUAUGAUUAUAAGAUUAAAUUACCUUAGGGAUAACAGCGUAAUUUUCUUUUAGAGUUCUUAUCGAAAGGAAAGGUUGCGACCUCGAUGUUGGAUUAAAAUAAAUUUUUGGCGUAGAAGCUGAAUUGUUAGGUCUGUUCGACCUUUAAAAUUUUACA
rnacentral:rRNA from 1 species